ACGCAAUAGAUACCCGGGUAGUCCACGCCCUAAACGAUGUCUACUAGUUGUCGGGUCUUAAUUGACUUGGUAAACGCAGCUAAACGCGUGAAGUAGACCGCCUGGGGAGUACGGUCGCAAGAUUAAAACUCAAAGGAAUUGACGGGGACCCGCACAAGCGGUGGAUGAUGUGGAUUAAUUCGAUGCAACGCGAAAAACCUUACCUACCCUUGACAUGUCAGGAACCUCCGAGAGAUUGGAGGGUGCCCGAAAGGGAGCCUGAACACAGGUGCUGCAUGGCUGUCGUCAGCUCGUGACGUGAGAUGUUGGGUUAAGUCCCGCAACGAGCGCAACCCUUGUCAUUAGUUGCUACGAAAGGGCACUCUAAUGAGACUGCCGGUGACAAACCGGAGGAAGGUGGGGAUGACGUCAAGUCCUCAUGGCCCUUGUGGGUAGGGCUUCACACGUCAUACAAUGGUACAUACAGA
rnacentral:rRNA from 1 species